rnacentral:rRNA from 1 species
UACAUGGGGUGCAAACGUUGCUCGGAAUCAUUGGGCGUAAAGCGCGCGUAGGCGGUUACUUAUGUCGGAUGUGAAAGCCCUCGGCUUAACUGAGGAAGUGCAUUCGAAACUGGGUAGCUAGAGUACUAAAGAGGGUCGCGGAAUUCCCGGUGUAGAGGUGAAAUUCGUAGAUAUCGGGAGGAACACCGGUGGCGAAGGCGGCCUUCUGGACAGUGACGUGACGCUGAGACGCGAAAGCGUGGGGAGCAAACAGG